GAUGAACGCUAGCGACAGGCUUAACACAUGCAAGUCGAGGGGCAGCGGGGUGUAGCAAUACAUCGCCGGCGACCGGCGCACGGGUGAGUAACGCGUAUGCAACUUGCCUAUCAGAGGGGGAUAACCCGUCGAAAGACGGACUAAUACCGCAUGAAACAGGGGCCCCGCAUGGGGAUAUUUGUUAAAGAGAAUCGCUGAUAGAUAGGCAUGCGUUCCAUUAGGUAGUUGGCGGGGCAACGGCCCACCAAGCCGACGAUGGAUAGGGGUUCUGAGAGGAAGGUCCCCCCACACUGGUACUGAGACACGGGACCAGACUCCUACGGGAGGCAGCAGUGAGGAAUAUUGGUCAAUGGGCGAGAGCCUGAAACCAGCCAAGUCGCGUGAGGGAUGAACGGCCCUACGGGUUGUAAACCUCUUUUAAUAAGGGAAUAAAGGACAUCACGUGUGGUGUUUUGCGUGUACCUUAUGAAUAAGCAUCGGCUAAACUCCGUG
rnacentral:rRNA from 1 species